rnacentral:miRNA from 1 species
GGGUGAGGGGGAGCUAGGUAGCAAGCCAGAGGCAUAUGUGGUUUUCACCUUCCUCCCAG